UCUGCCAGGGUCUGAGCUGUGUGGAGGGGCUCCAUCCAGCUCUGGGGAGUUACAGCCAGCCUCUGCAGCUCCUCUGGCAGCAGUGUCUUCAGGGGGCACCUGCUCCUCCUGAGUUCUAGGUCUGAAGCCCGAACAGGAACCAUCGUGCCUACUCCAGGGCAUCAGCCACGCCCUACAAGUGCCCACAGAUGCCUCAAGGCUCUGCAGAGAAGUCAAGUUUCCUUUUGGAGAGGAGGAGAUGAAGGUGAGCCUUAGUGGAUGCCCCAGGCAGUCCCCUAGCUGAGAUGUGGAAGCCCAGACAGAUGGUCCAAUAAACAACAGGCUUUGUGAAGAAACAACAUGCAUUAUUUAAAGAAUAACAACAAAAAUAAACUCUUCUAAAUAUUGCACAUUCGUUUGCAAGCAGAAGAUUAAUACAAUAAUAACAUCUUGGAUAUGAAAAACAAACAGUCAGUGAAAUGCAAACCUGGCUGAGAAAAAUUGCCUUCUUUCUUGGAGAAAAGUCACAGGAGACUGGAGAACAAAUUAUUUUUCUCGGCUUUGGGCCUUCAGGGUAUCGAAGCUUC